AGAGAGAGAGAGAGAGGGGGAAGGAACAAGAAGGAUGACUCGCACAACAAUUUAGGAAAAAAAAAGUAUAGUACAAGAAGAGGGGUAAAACAUAAACACCCAUGCAAUUUAUAUGUACUAGUUGUCGACACCAUAUUUUAGCCGAUCCCCAAAAUCAAUAAAUUUCAAAACCGAUCCCCAGCAUUAAGUCUCCCUUUGCCAGCCAAUUACAUUUCCGAUCUCUCUUUGCCGGACAACCACAUUUCCGAUCUCUCCUUAAAAGGAAUCGAAUCAAUACUAAGUCCCCAUGUCAUUUAAAGCCUCACCGACCUCUCAAACCAAUUGUCAAAUCUCCUAACUAGUCAAUUAUAUUUCCGAUCUUUCUUGUCAAACGAGAUUCAACCAACAUUAGGCCUUCGUGCCACCAGUCUUAUUGCCGAUCUCUCAUUUAAAAGUUUGGGAAUAAUAAAGUCAAGGUUUCGAUCCGGUUUAAUGAUGAUC
rnacentral:misc_RNA from 1 species